ensembl:lncRNA
GUGAACAGCGUGAGCAGCGUGAGCGCUCUGUCCGUCCCCCGUCACUCGUCCCUCACCACCGACUCCUUCAGCAGCGAGUCGUCCUUCCUCUGCUCCUCCUCCGUCUCCUCGUCUCCCUCACACGCUUCCACAAGGAGCUCAACGAUACCAACAGCUUCAUCACAGCGGGUCACGGAUAGCGUUAUACUCGGCUAAAUCCACACACAGCAGCACGGCUCCAAUCGCAGCUACGACCAGGCAGAAGAUGUUGGAGUGAAAACACAUCUGCGGGAGAAAACGAACACGUCGAGCGUUUGAGAAAGAAACAGAAAGAAACGUCGUUAUUGCACGUGUAUAAGGCAGAGACGUGAACCUGUAAGAUUGUGGGGUGUCUGUAGAGCAGCAUGGAGAAAAGUCCAGCAAUCAGGAACUGAAACAUAA